GCCGCCGCUCCCGCCUGCCACGAUCCCAAACCAUCGGCCAUUUCCAUCACUCCAUUGCACUGUCAGACCGCCUCCGCCACCGGCCACCGCCCUCGCACUGUGAGACCACCUCCGCCACCGGCCACCGCUCUCGCACUGUCACUCCAUCCUCGGCUCCUCGCACUGUCAGAAAGCCACCGCCACUCGCCGUCAGUUCGCCACUGCCAGACAAGAUGUCAAAUGGAAGAAAUUUCUCCCUUGUAUAUGGCUCCUUCGUCAGAUGAACUUGCUAUUUCAACAAGUGAGACUGUAGGUGCAAGUCAAAUUUCAAAAAAGAGAAAAGCAACAAAAUCUAGGUCAGAAGUUUGGUCUCAUUUUAAAAAAGUUACUUCAUCUUCUGGUGUUACUUCUUGAAGAACUCCAAGACUUAAAUGACUUUGAAAGUGUAGAAAAUGAUUCUUCAUGGAAUGCAAUGGAACCUACUCAACCUACCAUGUGAUUUUGGAUUCUGGAUUGAAGAGUUGAAGGAGUUGAAGAUUUGAUUCAUUUGAAAAAAAUGGAUGUUUGGAUUUUAUUAUUUGUGCUUUUGAAGUUUGUUGUGUUGUUAACUUGUUAUGAUAUUUGUUUUGUAUAUUUUAAAUUUUCUUAUGGAUUUAGUAUGCAUUUUGGAUUUACUUUGUGUUUUUAAUUUAAGUUAUGGAUUCAGUAUGCA